rnacentral:rRNA from 1 species
UACGGGGGGGAGCAAGCGUUGUUCGGAUUUACUGGGCGUAAAGGGCGCGUAGGCGGCCACCGCAAGUCGACUGUGAAAUCUCCGGGCUUAACCCGGAAAGGUCAGCCGAUACUGCGGGGGCUAGAGUGCAGAAGGGGCAACUGGAAUUCUCGGUGUAGCGGUGAAAUGCGUAGAUAUCGAGAGGAACACCUGCGGCGAAGGCGGGUUGCUGGGCUGACACUGACGCUGAGGCGCGAAAGCGUAGGGGAGCAAACGGG